rnacentral:rRNA from 1 species
UACGAAGGGGGCUAGCGUUGCUCGGAAUCACUGGGCGUAAAGGGUGCGUAGGCGGGUCUUUAAGUCAGGGGUGAAAUCCUGGAGCUCAACUCCAGAACUGCCUUUGAUACUGAAGAUCUUGAGUUCGGGAGAGGUGAGUGGAACUGCGAGUGUAGAGGUGAAACUCGUAGAUAUUCGCAAGAACACCAGUGGCGAAGGCGGCUCACUGGCCCGAUACUGACGCUGAGGCACGAAAGCGUGGGGAGCAAACAGG